UACAGAGGUCUCAAGCGUUGUUCGGAUUCAUUGGGCGUAAAGGGUGCGUAGGCGGCGCGGUAAGUCGGGUGUGAAAUCUUGGAGCUUAACUCCGAAACUGCAUUCGAUACUGCCGUGCUUGAGGACUGGAGAGGAGACUGGAAUUUACGGUGUAGCGGUGAAAAUGCGUAGAUAUCGUAAGGAAGACCAGUGGCGAAGGCGGGUCUCUGGACAGUUCCUGACACUGAGACACGAAGGCCAGGGGAGCAAACGGG
rnacentral:rRNA from 1 species